AGCAUACUGCCGUGAAUACGUUCCCGGGCCUUGUACACACCGCCCGUCACACCAUGAGAGUUGGGGAUACCCAAAGCCCGUGAGCCAACUGUAAAGAGGCAGCGGUCUAAGGUAGAAUCAAUGAUUGGGGUGAAGUCGUAACAAGGUAGC
rnacentral:rRNA from 1 species